CAGGGGAAUCCUUCCCCAGUGGAGAGCAGAAAAGCUCACAUGGUUUAUCAUCAACAACAACAGCUGUCAGGAGGCUUUUUUUCUUGUUGGUGUAUCUGUCAUGGGCCUGGCACUGUUGGUCUCUGAAGCUUGGCACACCUUUGGGGCAGGGCAAGUUCUCACACACAGUGUGUUCCACACUGGCCCCACGGCAGUUCUUCCCACCUGGCCCCGGGGGGGGAUUGUCGCAUUUCCUCUGUCUGAAUCGCACUCCUGUGCCACACGUCCGGCUGCACAUGCUCCACUGACUCCACACGCUCCAGUCUCCAUCAACGUGUUCAGGGAUGGGAGUUUUACUAACACACUCUCCAGCUCGGCACCACUUGUCUGCGCCACACUCAGUGCCAUCCAGAGGGGGAUCCAACUUUGUUUUACAGGAUGUAUCUCCUUCCACCAAGCACCAGAGCCCAGCACACAUCAAAUGCUCCAUAUUUUUACAGAAUGUAGCAUUGGUCCCAAAGAGGAUCUGGCACUGUUCAUCAGCACUGUAGUGCAUUCCCGGCAGCUUGUGA
rnacentral:lncRNA from 1 species